rnacentral:lncRNA from 1 species
CUGAGGAAGAUAGGAAUUAUUUUAGCAACUGCAAACACAUCAAAAGCAAGAAGAGAGCCUGACGAGAUAAGGAGUCAUGCAAAGUCGACAGGGGGAAGGAGAGAGUGAUUUGUUGACAAGAGCAGGAGAUAGCGAACCAAAGUGCUCUAAGUCUCUGAGAGGGGAAGAUGAAGAGGAGGAAGUGGAAACCACAGCCCAUACAGUGCACUCAGGUCUAAAGGUGCGUGUAAAUGUGUGUGAGAGAGAGAGCGAACGAGAGAAAGUACGAGAGGGGUGGGCUCCUGUCUUAUCUAGGACAUGUUCGUGUUGCCACUUUAACUUUGACUAGGGCAGAAAGAGAUUGAAAGAGAGAGAGAGACAGAGAGAGAGGCCUAGGCCUUAACGUAUUGGAUGUAGUAUUGUGAUACAUGAAGGACAACACUCAGUCGAUGUCUAACUCAUAAGGAUGGAAGGACAGACUCUGGUAAAAGCCGUGUUGGCCCUCUUCCUCUUGUAUGUCGUCUGCCUUGGUGCCAAUACUGAAGACAAUACAUGCUUCCCAGAGGUCCGAGUCAGGAGGAAUACUGUUCAGAAGGUUGUAGAGAUGAGCACCCUAACACUCAACUGCCCUGUGAAACACUGUGAGGAAACACCCGUUGUCACAUGGUGCAAACUGAUGGACGUGGAGAUCUGCACAUCACUGCCUGAAAAUCAUAAUGUUAGAAUAUGGCAGAUGCCAGAUAACACUGAAGGAAAUCUCAUUAUAUCCUAUUUGGAGAUCAAAGACAUAACAAAGAACGACAGUGGUUUAUAUAGAUGUAAUGGUUCUGCCACCACUGUUGGACAUUCAAUCAGUGUUUCUGUCACUGGUAAGUGAAGUUUUUAUGUUUUUUACUGUUUUGGGAGGGUGUUUGCAUAUAUGAUAUAUCACAUUUACUUCAGUUUAAUACUGUGAACUAUUUCUCUCAGGUGUUGACCAAUUGGAAAACACAACCUACAACACAGGUAAGAUCAAAUAUUAUUUUUUUUAUUUGAUGAUGAUGAUAUUGGUAACUAAUUACUAAUCAGUAAAU